GAGUUUGAUCCUGGCUCAGAGCGAACGCUGGCGGCAGGCCUAAUACAUGCAAGUCGAGCGCACCUUCGGGUGAGCGGCGGACGGGUGAGUAACGCGUGGGAAUAUGCCCUUUGGUACGGAACAACCCAGGGAAACUUGGGCUAAUACCGUAUGUGCCCUACGGGGGAAAGAUUUAUCGCCAUUGGAGUAGCCCGCGUUGGAUUAGCUAGUUGGUAGGGUAAAGGCCUACCAAGGCUACGAUCCAUAGCUGAUCUGAGAGGAUGAUCAGCCACACUGGGACUGAGACACGGCCCAGACUCCUACGGGAGGCAGCAGUAGGGAAUCUUGCGCAAUGGGCGAAAGCCUGACGCAGCCAUGCCGCGUGAAUGAUGAAGGUCUUAGGAUUGUAAAAUUCUUUCACCGGGGAAGAUAAUGACGGUACCCGGAGAAGAAGCCCCGGCUAACUUCGUGCCAGCAGCCGCAGUAAG
rnacentral:rRNA from 1 species